CGGGGCGUAGCGCAGCUUGGUAGCGUGUCCGUUUCGGGUGCGGAAGGCCGGAGGUUCGAACUCCUCGCCCCGC
rnacentral:tRNA from 1 species